rnacentral:rRNA from 1 species
CGGGAUAGGACUAAGACAUGCUAGUCGAGCGCUCUUUACCACGAUAAGAGCGCGGCGCACAGCUCAGUAACACGUGGCUAACCUGCCCUUGGGACAGAGACACCCCCGGGAAACUGGGGCUAAUCCCUGAUAGGCGAAGAACCCUGGAAUGAGUCUUCACCCAAAAGACGCCUAGCCACGCUUCUAGACGUCGCCCAAGGAUGGGGCCGCGACCGAUCAGGUUGUUGGUGAGGUAACGGCCCACCAAGCCUUUUACCGGUACGGGCCGUGAGAGCGGGAGCCCGGAGAUGGGCACUGAGACAAGGGCCCAGGCCCUACGGGGCGCAGCAGUCGCGCAAACUUUGCAAUACACGAAAGUGUGACAGGGCUAUCCCGAGUGCCGUCCGCUGAGGGUGGCUUUUACCCAGUCUAAAAGCUGGGAGAAUAAGAGAGGGCAAGUCUGGUGUCAGCCGCCGCGGUAAUACCAGCUCUCCGAGUGGUGUGGAUGUUUAUUGGGCCUGAAGCAUCCGUAGCUGGCUGAUCAAAGUCCCCUGUUAAACCCAACGAAUCAAUCGUUGGAUUGCGGGGGAUACUGCUCGGCUAGGGGACGAGAGAGGCCGACGGUAUUUUCGGGGUAGGGUGAAAUCCUAUAAUC